CAAAGGAUUAAUGAGCAUCGAACAUGACAGUUUGAAAUUUGAGUAUUUUGACGUGACUAAUAAGGCCAGUCACAAGAGUGGGCGUUCUCAUUGUACAAAAGCCCUCCGAUGCAAAGCUGCUCCGUGGCGGUGCCGUUCCAGCAGGUCCAGUACCUGGUGCAGGAGGUCUCGUGGCCAAAGAUACCGUACAGCCAGUCGCAGUGCUCCGUGCCGAUUGGGGGAUCUGAAAAUAAAGCAGGCGUUGACAGAUUAAGAUGGGAGAUAAUAUGUAAUUUUCGGAAAAAUUAUAAGGAAACUAUAUUGAUUUUAAUUAAAGUAAGGCGAGGGAAAUAUUUAAUAACAAUCAACAUAUCCAGUACUGUUAUUUUAUAAUGAAGAAUGCCUUGAGAAACUCUCAAUUACAAGCAUCAUAGAAGGCAAUACGUUUCCGGCAUAUCAACGCAAGAUAUAUCUGUGAGUCGUUUGAAAAAAUAUCAAUAUACCGGAAAGAAGUGAAAUUGUAAUUGAUUCUAAUUCUUUUGAAUGCGAUUAUUUUAGAAAAACGGAGCUAAAUAUGGUCUAGUUGUUGUGGAAAAAAAAAGAAAUAAUAAAAACAUAUAAAAAAAAUUCCUUCAAUUAUUUAGCGAGCCUUACCGAUUUAUUUUAUCACUAGCGACCCGCCCUCGCUUCGCUU